rnacentral:sRNA from 1 species
GACGCCUGAGGAAUGUUCCACUGCUAUAAGGAUAGGCAAUGGAAAUGUUAACCGAGUCAUAAUCAAGCUUAGGCUUGGUAUCCUAUUAUUAUUUACCAAAAGAAUUCAGAAUUAAUAUUGUAACAUAGACGUAAAAAAUCUAUAAAACAACUUUUAACAACGGAUCUCUUGGUUCUCGCAUCGAUGAAGAACGUAGCAAAGUGCGAUAACUAGUGUGAAUUGCAUAUUCAGUGAAUCAUCGAGUCUUUGAACGCAACUUGCGCUCAUUGGUAUUCCAAUGAGCACGCCUGUUUCAGUAUCAAAACAAACCCUCUAUCCAACUUUUUGUUGAAUAGGAUGACUGAGAGUCUCUUGAUCUAUUUUGAUCUUGAACCUCUUGAAAUGUACAAAGGCCUGAUCUUGUUUGAAUGCCUGAACUUUUUUUUAAUAUAAA